rnacentral:rRNA from 1 species
CUCGGUGGCCAAGCGGAGGGGACCCACCCGUUCCCAUCCCGAACACGGAAGUUAAGCCCUCCAGCGCCGACAAUACUGAUUGGGCAACUGAUUGGGAAGAUAGGUCGCCGCCGGGG